GAUGAACGCUAGCUACAGGCUUAACACAUGCCAGUCGAGGGGCAGCAUGGUCUUAGCUUGCUAAGGCCGAUGGCGACCGGCGCACGGGUGAGUAACACGUAUCCAACCUGCCGUCUACUCUUGGACAGCCUUCUGAAAGGAAGGUUAAUACAAGAUGGCAUCAUGAGUUCACAUGUUCACAUGAUUAAAGGUAUUCCGUUAGACGAUGGGGAUGCGUUCCAUUAGAUAGUAGGCGGGGUAACGGCCCACCUAGUCUUCGAUGGAUAGGGGUUCUGAGAGGGAGGGCCCGCACAAUGGAGCUGAGGCACGGUCCAAACUCCUACGGGAGGCAGCAGUGAGGAAUAUUUGUAAAUGGGCGAGAGCCUGAACCAGCCAAGUAGCGUGAAGGAGUGCUGCCCUAUGGGUUGUAAACUUCUUUUAUAAGGGAAGAAAGUCGGGUAUUUAUACCCUGUUGCAUGUACUUGAUGAAUAAGGAUCGGCUAACUCCGUG
rnacentral:rRNA from 1 species